rnacentral:rRNA from 1 species
UACGGGGGGGGCAAGCGUUGUUCGGAAUUACUGGGCGUAAAGGGCUCGUAGGUGGCCAACUAAGUCAGACGUGAAAUCCCUCGGCUUAACCGGGGAGCUGCGUCUGAUACUGGAUGGCUUGAGUUUGGGAGAGGGACGCGGAAUUCCAGGUGUAGCGGUGAAAUGCGUAGAUAUCUGGAGGAACACCGGUGGCGAAGGCGGCGUCCUGGACCAACACUGACACUGAGGAGCGAAAGCCAGGGGAGCAAACGGG